GACGAACGCUGGCGGCGUGCUUAACACAUGCAAGUCGAACGGAAAGGCCCUUCGGGGUCCUCGAGUGGCGAACGGGUGAGUAACACGUGGGUGAUCUGCCCUGCACUUUGGGAUAAGCCUGGGAAACUGGGUCUAAUACCGAAUAGGACCACGCGCUUCAUGGUGUGUGGUGGAAAGCUUUUGCGGUGUGGGAUGGGCCCGCGGCCUAUCAGCUUGUUGGUGGGGUAAUGGCCUACCAAGGCGACGACGGGUAGCCGGCCUGAGAGGGUGACCGGCCACACUGGGACUGAGAUACGGCCCAGACUCCUACGGGAGGCAGCAGUGGGGAAUAUUGCACAAUGGGCGCAAGCCUGAUGCAGCGACGCCGCGUGAGGGAUGACGGCCUUCGAGUUGUAAACCUCUUUCAAUAGGGACGAAGCGCAAGUGACGGUACCUAUAGAAGAAGCACCGGCCAACUACGUG
rnacentral:rRNA from 1 species